ensembl:lncRNA INHBA-AS1 INHBA antisense RNA 1
GGAUUUUCCCCCUACUAAUUGACAUGCCUGUCGCCUCCUUCUCCUGGUGUCCAUUUCUGGAACUGCUAUUUGUAUAUUGCAUGAUAUUUUAUCAGGAAAAAAUAUAAAACAGAUCUAAUUUCAUGAAAAUGCUGUUGCCAUAAUGCUCAGGAGAACAGGGGGAAGAGAGAGAUUCAAGUCUUCCUAAUGUCUACCUUAUAUGCAGAGCCUUGGAAAGAUGGGCAAAUGCUCUGUGACAAGCCACCAGGGUAGACUGGUACUGAAAAGACCCUACUACACACAGGGGCUCUGUCCCUGGCUGGAAAGUUACAAGUCAGCCUACCUCUCUGUGAUCUGGUUUCCACACCUACUACUCUUUAUCCCAUGAGGAGCUUCUGGAAACUAAAAUAGGUACGUAAUCAAAACCAAAAGAAGACAUUGGUUCAAGGAUCCUCAAGAGCUCAGCAUCAUGUUUCUGUUGUUUCUUUUUGAAUAGACAAAAUUCUCAGUGUUCAGUAGCUACACACACACACACACACACACACACAAACACACACACCCCACACACAAAAGUAGCAUCUCCACAAUGUUGCAUGCAUCAGGAAAGCAAAUGUUUUUACCACAGGCUGGCUAUGCCUCAUCCUCUUAAACUAGCAUCUUGAGGUCUUUGCAGAAGCCAUUUUAUAGAUGCCUACACUCAUCCCAUUACUUGCAUUCUCAUCCUGAGGGUAUUUUAAGGAGUCAAAAUAAAGUUUACUUAGGCGUGUGUGAGAGACAGAAUGAUAGACCAAAAGAGAAGGCUAGGGCUUCGUAAUAUUUAGAUAAUGAUGAAACUGAAAUGGCUGAUGCAGAGUGCAGUAAUUAUAUAGGAUACUUUAUUAUUUGGGUUCACCUUUGCUCAGUAGUGAAUUAUAAGCACUCUACUAGGUGAGAGGUUUGGCUUCCAAAAUGAACAGCUGGCGCAGGAUGGAACUGUCAGACCAUGUCACAUGAUAAAUAAAAUAAUACAUAGAAACUUUAGGAUCUCCUAAUUGGAAGCUUCCUUUAGACAACAAAAGAUGCCAGGCUAUCUGCUGCCCCCUAACUGGUACCAUGAAGAACAGCACAUAACUUUUUAAGAAACAAAGUCUGAUUCAGGUACAAUUAGUUAGUGGCUGAGUCAACCUCCUAAGUUAUAGUUGUGAAUUUGGCCAUUUCCAUGAACCUGUUUGUUGCGAUUAAGGCAAAGUCAUCGGGUAGAGUCUGUUUUGUUUCUGUCUUUUCCUGAUGGAGAGGCACUCCUGAUUUGCAGCAGCUGCCCAGGUAGAAGAGUGUUGACCAAAGGACACAUCACCAGCACAGACUGUUAAUCAUGUGACUAGAGAAAACUCUCAUGGUGGCAUUCAAAUUUCCAUAUCCUUCUUCUAUGGAAAUUUCUGAGAGACCCAGAAAAGAAGCGUAACGACGAGGGAAAGUGAUUCCUGCAGACCUGAACAUUCCAGACUUACCAGGUGAUCCAGCUGUCUGUCAGCGGGAAGAGGCUGAGGCGCCCCCUUCUGGUGCAUCUGAAUAGUAAGAAACCCUGUGUAGAAAGAAACCCUGUAGCAAUUGGGCACCUUCUCCGUGAUCUGUCUGCUUCCAAUACCAAAAAUUGUUGCUUUUUAAAUGACAUCCAUCCUAAGCUUAAAAAAGACGCAUAUUAUUUGUAUAAAAUGUUGAAGACGCAGAACAAAAAAUGUAAAUCACAUGUAAUCAUCCCUUCCAGAAAUAAUCGUUAUUAAAAUUUCUGUGUAUGUGUAAAAAAAAAAAUUGCAAUCCUACUGUAAUAUAAUCCUGUAUACUGAUAUUUUUCACCUAUCACUGUAUGUUGAGCAUUUUCAAUAGUCAAAUUAUUUCUUGAAAAUAUUAAUGACUGGGGAGUAACCUUUCAAAUAGGUGUGUCUUUAUUUUUAAACCAGUCCACAAUUAUUGUAUAUUGAAGUCAUUUCCCAAAUUUUGUAAGUAUAAGUAUUGCAUCCAUCCUUAUAUGUAUUUAAAUGCAUCUCUUAUUAUUUCCUUGAGAUAAGUUCCUAGAAGUGGAAUCACUGGAUUUAAAAAUGUGGACAUAUUUAUGCCAGACGCGGUGGGUCAUGCCUGUAAUCCCAGCACUUUGGGAGACUGAAGCAGGUGGAUCACUUGAGGUCAGGAGUUCAAGACCAGCCUGGCCAACAUAGUGAAACCCCAUCUCUACUAAAAUUACAAAAAUUAGCCGGGUGUGGUAGUGCACGCCUGUAAUCCCAGCUACUCAGGAGGCUGAGGCAUAAGAAUCACUUGAACUCAGGAGGCGGAGGUUGCAGUGAGCCAAGAUGGCACCACUGCGCUCCAGUCUGGGCGACAGAGUAAGACUUCAUCUCAAAAAUAAAUAAAUAAAAUUAAAAUUAAAUAAGAUAAAUAAAAAAUAAAAAUGUGGACAUAUUUAAAUCUUCAUAUAUAUUACCAAAUGCCCUCCUGAAAGUUUUUACCUGUUACAUUCCAACCAAUAGUGUAAGGGCAUGACUCUUUCCCUGUGUUUUGGGAUGGAUGUUAUCAAAGUUCUCUCCCACCCAGGCCAAGUAUGGUAUAUGCUUUGAUUUAAUUUGAAUUUUUAAAUUAUUAUUUAAAAUGGACAUUUUGUUGUCCAUUUGAACAACUUUCUUUUGAGUCACUGUUCAUGUUCUUUGCCCAUUGUUUCUCUUUUAUUAGUAAGAACCCUAUUGUCAUUUUUAUAUUUUAAAUAAAAUUUCAUUGUAUAUACAUUUAUAUUAUCUAUAGUAAAGUAUAUUUUAUUAUUAAUGAGAACUUUUUAUAUUAAA